GAAAAAUUUUUUUAAGUCUUGAAUAAAAAAAGCAGACACUUAAAGCCAGCAUUUGUACAGAUGUUCUGCCCUACUCCUGGAAGGUAAUACCUUUCUAGCACAACUUGAUAAUAGAAAUGGUAAUUGACCAUUUGAUGGUUUUAAAAAACAAAAUGUUCAAGACACUCAAUGGUAUUUUUACAAAUAAGGAUAGUGUAGGAUCCAGGGAAGCUUAUGAGUUUCAAAUUAUUAAUGUAUGUUAUGCUUUAGUUCUGACAUUAGAAACAAAACGGAUAAGAGUCAUUUUUCUUUUAUUUUUGCUAAAAACAGGAGAUUAUAAU
rnacentral:misc_RNA from 1 species